rnacentral:rRNA from 1 species
GUAGGGUGCAAGCGUUAAUCGGAAUUACUGGGCGUAAAGCGUGCGCAGGCGGUUGGGUAAGACAGAUGUGAAAUCCCCGGGCUUAACCUGGGAACUGCAUUUGUGACUGUCCGUCUGGAGUACGUCAGAGGGGGGUGGAAUUCCACGUGUAGCAGUGAAAUGCGUAGAUAUGUGGAAGAACACCGAUGGCGAAGGCAGCCCCCUGGGACGCAACUGACGCUCAUGCACGAAAGCGUGGGGAGCAAACAGGAUUAGAUACCCUGGUAGUCCACGCCCUAAACGAUGUCUGCUGGUUGUUGGGAAUUUAAUUCUCAGUAACGAAGCCAACGCGUGAAGCAGACCGCCUGGGGAGU